AAUUCUGUCGGGAACGUCGGAGACUAUAGCUAAGUAUAUAUCUGCCAGGUAAGUAUGUACAAAACUUUAUUGUAGUUUAACAAUAUCAUUUUGAAAUAUGGCAAAGUAAACUCCUAUUGUUUUUGAGAUGUAACACAGUAGGUGAUUUACCAUUUACUUGCAUGUACGUUUAGAUUACUUGUGGAUAAGAGCUGUAAGAGUGGAAGGUUUAAAAAAUUUAUUUGUUUGUAAGAGGAUACAAACCUUUCUCUUAUGUAUAUGGAUUACCUUCAAAUGGUGAAAGCUGGUGUGUUUGUUGAAAUUUGGUAACAAAGUGGUUAUAUAACUGGUAGUAGGUGAGUAAUUUAACUAAUAGCAUCACUUUUUCUUCAUCUGCUUUGAACAGGCAUCUUGUAUUUCUUUUCAUAUGACUGUUGUUGAGUUUACCUAUGCAUUUCUUUUUCUAGAUGGUUCAUAACUAUGGGCUAUUUGUUUUGACUAUGAGUCUUCUAAAAAUUCUGUGUGCUAGGUUCAAGUCCUCUUUUGAUAUUAGCCCUCAUUCUUACGUUUUAUUCUUCAGAAGUCAGGAGAACAUGCCAUCUCUGAAUUGUCAUAUGUAAAUAACUUAAUUAAUGAUCCAAGUGUACUACCUUUGUUUUCCCAAACCUUUCAAGUCAAACCAGGUCACAUUUCCAAUGUAAAGAGGAAUAGGUUUAACUAAGAAUUAAAGUUCAUGCAUGUUUAGUGUCAGGAAGACAAUGAAGUGUGAACUGGUAUUGGAAGUGUACAGUUUAUAUAAGGAAUAUUUAAUAAAAGACUUUCUUAAUUGAAGACAGAUUCUUUCUCCUUUAACCCAUCAAAAAUUAAGUUAGUAUUAAGGUUUUAUGCUGAAAAAGAAUGAUAGGGUCCACCUGGUGCAAUCUUUCCUGUCUUUUACAGUUUUCAUUUGUCUGUAUGUCUACGAGUGGGAUAUGUACUUGUUCUGCCUAAAAGUGGAAAAGACUAAGUUUACAUGUUUUCUCUCUCCAAGCUUUCAUGAGUCACAUUGUGUGGCUAGUAUGGUUUGUUUUGCAAAUGAUGUGCAAAUGGGCUUUGUGUAGUGGGAGGUAUUUUGUGGAUAUGUUUGAUGUGCCCCAGUUUGUGUAAAGUUUUAUAGGAAGGGAAAUGUUAUUGUUACAAACUUAAGGUCAGAAUACAUGCUAUCUGGUGAUGCAUCAUUAUACACUGGUGGUUUUAUUAUUUUAUUAAACUUUGGUGUGUGUAAAUUCAUGCUGUUAAAACAUUCAACUUACAUGUCAUUCUUGAUGUGAUUCUUACUGGAAAUUCAUUUUUGAGAAACAUAUCCUGUCAAUUUCUUCUUCAGUUUGGCUAAAAAUUGGCAUAUUAAGAAAAUCUUUCAAGAUUUUUGGAGACCUCUCUGUUGUGACAAAAUGUUUUCAAUUUUUAUUUUUUUUAUUUUGCCAUGAUUUGAAUAUUGUUUCCUGCUAAGGUCUCCCAAAACUGACUUUUAUCUUAACUUGUGGGAGAAAACAUGAGUCCAGGUAAAUUUCUUAUUCCUUAUCUGUGGUACAAUGUUUGAUUAGUUCAUUUCACAUUCUGCAUUAAAAAAACCCUUUUUAAUACUAUCAUCUUUACUUUCAGAUCUGCUGAAAUUACACCAUGCUGUGCUUUCCUUGCUUGGGCCCCAUGUAACAUUUUGCUCUUUCAACUAGGGUUGCAGUUUGACUGAUACUAUUGCUAUGAUAUGAUUACGUAUACGGUAUAUAAAAUUGGAAGCACUGAAAUUUAAUUAAAAGUUUUAUGAUAGAAUAUAUUCUUUCUUCAGGUGAUUUGAAGAAUACAAAAAACCCAGGCACAUCUGCAGCAGGAGUGUGGGAAUAUGUAGUUUGCUGGUGUAAUACGUAUCUGCACGUUUCUCCUAAAUGGAAGAUAAUGUACUAUGUACUUUCACUCUGGUUAUUUUCGAUGUUGAAGGAAACACAUCCUCCUCACUUAGACUUUUUAACGGGCAAACACAGCACACUAAAUCAGGUGUUUGUAAAACUUGGUUGGCUGUGGACUUCAAGUGUUUUUGCAUUGUACGGAAUGCUGUCGUUGCCUAUUCAUAAGAAGCCAUUCCCAAUUCUUGGUCGCCUUUGUGUUAGAUAUGUCGUCACCACCCUUAUAUUCUAUGUCUGGUGUGCGGUAAGUGUAGGGGACUGCUGUUAAGUCAGUAAAUUGUAUUGAGAAUAACUGCAUGUUUGCUUCAUCAAAACCCAUCAUUCAUAUGGAGCCCUUACAAAGAUUAUUUAUGCUUACAAUGCAAUGAAGCACCCAGAAAUAAGGUUGUUUAAGUAGUCUGGCCAAUUAUUGCAAGGUCCUCAGAGUGUCUUCCACCAAAGGUAGAAGGUCCAUAAACCAUUCUUGCUGAGGCCAGCCAGGAGAGGAAUAACCAUUUUCCAAAUCUUUUCUUUACAAUAUGUACAUGACCAGCAAGUAAGUUAUUUGAUGUCACUUCUGUAUACCUUAGAGUACUUGAGAUCUUCAAUACAGAUACUAAUACUAAUAGAUUUUUUAACUAGGACUGCAAUAAAGAAGAUAUUUUUAUACAUUUAACUUACCUGUCAGAUAUAUACUUAGCUAUUUGACUCCGUCGUCCGACAGAAAUUCGAAUUUCGCGCACACGCUACCUGUAGGUCAGGUGAUCUACUUACCUGCCGCUGGGUGGCAGGACUAGGAACCAUUCCCAUGUUCUAUCAUAUUUUUUCUGUCGGCCAUACUGGCAACAUCGUUGUGGGUAUCUCCGGCUGGAUUCGUAUUUUGCAUCGCAAUUGAUCUUCGUUUGGACUUCUCGGUGACGUAUUUGCAUUGAUUGUACUGGCAUACGCGAUUGUGGACCGUUUUUGGAAUUUGAUUUGGAUUGUUCAACAUGUCUGAUU